rnacentral:tRNA from 1 species
GCCCGGGUGGCGGAACUGGUAGACGCGCUGGACUCAAAAUCCAGUGGUAGCAAUACCAUGGGGGUUCGAUUCCCUUCCCGGGCA